rnacentral:lncRNA from 1 species
CCUUUUGUAAAACUGUGUACAUUGCCAACUCUAUGUAUGUGUUUCUAUGAAUGUGAAUGUGCCUGUUGAUGUGUCAUAAGAAUCUCAUAACAUACAUUAAGUAUUCAGAUUUGGCACAACGUAUCAAAGCAUAUAAAACAGGGGGAGCACAACCUGAAUAUCAAAGGGGGAGUAAAAUGAACACUGAAUAUAUUGAAUAUAGAGAUAAUUUGUCCCCUUCAUCGUUGAUGACAAAAAGGGGGAGUAGAUAUUGAAUGUAGAGAUAGUGAAAGGGGGGAGCAGUUAUAUAUAUGGAUAUUGAAUAUGGAAUGCAAAAUUCAUAAUCAUACUCGAAAGUUGAUUUAGAAAAGAUAAAAUUGAAGAAUAUUGACCUUCAGAUAAUUGCCCUUCUGGAAAAGAAAGGGGGAGUCAAAAAGAAUCUAGCUUUCAAUUAUCCUCAGCAUCAAUACUUCAUUUUAACUUGAUUCAAAUUCAGUUGAUAUGCUAAAAUC